GACCACGUAGCUCAGUUGGAAGAGCAUUGGGCUAGUAUUCCAAAGGUCGUAGGUUCGAAUCCCACUGUGGCCG
rnacentral:tRNA from 1 species